rnacentral:rRNA from 1 species
CCUACGGGUGGCUGCAGUGGGGAAUAUUGGACAAUGGGGGGAACCCUGAUCCAGCCAUGCCGCGUGUGUGAAGAAGGCCCUCGGGUUGUAAAGCACUUUCAGUGAGGAAGAACGCCUGGUGGUUAAUACCCAUCAGGAAAGACAUCACUCACAGAAGAAGCACCGGCUAACUCCGUGCCAGCAGCCGCGGUAAUACGGAGGGUGCGAGCGUUAAUCGGAAUUACUGGGCGUAAAGCGCGCGUAGGUGGCUUGAUAAGCCGGUUGUGAGAGCCCCGGGCUCAACCUGGGAACGGCAUCCGGAACUGUCAAGCUAGAGUGCAGGAGAGGAAGGUAGAAUUCCCGGUGUAGCGGUGAAAUGCGUAGAGAUCGGGAGGAAUACCAGUGGCGAAGGCGGCCUUCUGGACUGACACUGACACUGAGGUGCGAAAGCGUGGGUAGCAAACAGGAUUAGAUACCCUUGUAGUC